rfam:Acyrthosiphon pisum strain LSR1 Contig41410, whole genome shotgun sequence.
CGCUGUACGGCGCGGUAACAACACGCUCGUAACACGGAGGAUGUCUCAUACGGUAAAGCGAAUGAUUAGAGGACAUUGGGGCCGAAACGACCUCAACCUAUUCUCAAACUAUAAAUGAGUGAGAUCGCCGGCUUUACCUGGUACACCGCGUGAACCGCGUGCGAAGCCGGCGACGGAACCCUAGGCGCUUAGUGGGCCAUUUUUGGUAAGCAGAACUGGCGCUGCGGGAUGAACCGAACGCCGAGUUAAGGCGCCGAAAUCGACGCGUAUUCAGAGACCAUGAAAGGCGUUGGUUGCUGAUGACAGCAGGACGGUGGCCAUGGAAGUCGGAAUCCGCUAAGGAGUGUGUAACAACUCACCUGCCGAAGCAACUAGCUCUGAAAAUGGAUGGCGCUGGAGCGUCGUGCCUAUACUCGGCCGUCGACGGCAUAGUGGGGCCAGUCGUCGCUCGCGGCGGCCGGUCCCGGCAAGCCUCGACGAGUAGGAUGGCACGGCGGUGUGCGUCGAAGGGCAGGUCGCGAGACCGCCUGGAGCCGCCGUCGGUGCAGAUCUUGGUGGUAGUAGCAAAUACUCGAGAGGGGCCCUCGGGGGCUGCCGUGGAGAAGGGUUUCUUGUGAACAGCCGUUGUCCAAGAGUCAGUCGAUCCUAAGCCCGGGGAGAGAUCCUCGUACCACGGGCGAAGGCGUUUUCGAAUCGCCCUUGGGGCGAAAGGGAAUCCGGUUCGUAUUCCGGAACCCGACGCGGAACCGCUCCCUAGUGUUCGGGGCUCUUUUGUCUCGUCUGGGUAACCAGAAUGAACUCGAAGAAGCCGCCGGGGGAUCUGGGUAGAGUUCUCUUUUCUCUGUGAGCGUUGUACGUCCCUGGAAUCCUCUAGCCGGGCGAUAGGGACGCGAGCGCGAAGAGCACCGCUCGUUGCGGCGGUGUCCGUGAUCCCCACGCGGACCUUGAAAAUUCGAGAGAGGGCCACGCGGAGUCUUCGCGUCGGUUCGUACCGAUAUCCGCAGCAGGUCUCCGAGGUGAGCAGCCUCUAGCCGCAUAGAAUAAUGUAGGUAAGGGAAGUCGGCAAAAUCGAUCCGUAACUUCGGGAUAAGGAUUGGCUCUGAGGAGCGUGGCGGAUCGGGUUCGGGUCGUCGUAGAAGCGUAGGCGGUGCUGGCAACACCCCGGCCGUCGCCCGUGCGUCUGGUCUUCGGGACCGGGAGCCUCGUGGCGGUUGCGGGCUCUUCGCCAUCCGCCGAUCGUGGAACCACUGAGCUUUGGUUACUGGUCGCGUCGCGGCUGCGUAGCCGGAUCGACCGCCAUGUAUCGGUCAACUCAGAACUGGCACGGACUAGGGGAAUCCGACUGUCUAAUUAAAACAAAGCAUCGCGAUGGCCCGGGACGGGUGUUGACGCGAUGUGAUUUCUGCCCAGUGCUCUGAAUGUCAACGUGAAGAAAUUCAAGCAAGCGCGGGUAAACGGCAGGAGUAACUAUGACUCUUUCAAGGUAGCCAAAUGCCUCGUCAUCUAAUUAGUGACGCGCAUGAAUGGAUUAACGAGAUUCUCAUCUGUCCCUAUCUACUAUCUAGCGAAACCACAGCCAAGGGAACGGGCUUGGAAAAAUCAGCGGGGAAAGAAGACCCUGUUGAGCUUGACUCUAAUCUGACAUUGUUCGGAGACAUGCCGAGGUGUAGCAUAAGUGGGAGUCGGGGUUCUAGGCGGGUGGUUUCGGCCGUUCGUCUCCCCGUCGACCUUGAAAUACCACUACUCGCAUCGUUUCCCCACUUACUCGGUAGAGCGGAACGCCCGGUUCCGGCCACAGGUGCGUCCGGCUGUCGGUCGUCGUCCCGUCGCGUUGUCGGUUUGCCGUCGGUUCGUCCGGCGUGCUACUAGCACGCGGCGCGGUCGCCGUGCCGUCGGCUUGUGCCCGUUCGUGCCGGGCCGCGGUUGAUUUUCCGGUAGCGUUAAACACCAGCCGUGGGCUCCGGGCGUCAAACACGGACCGCGUACGGCCGGCCGUCAAAAGUCGCCGUCCGCGUUCGCGGCGUUUCCGCGAGCCCAAACUCUGGUGCGAUCCGUAUUCCGAGGACACCGCCAGGUGGGGAGUUUGACUGGGGCGGUACAUCUGUCAAAAAAUAACGCAGAUGUCCUAAGGCCAGCUCAGCGAGGACGGAAACCUCGCGUAGAGCAAAAGGGCAAAUGCUGGCUUGAUCCCGGACGCUCAGUACGCGUAGGGACUGCGAAAGCAUCGGCCACUCGAUCCUCUCGUCCGCUGAAGAGUUUUCAGCGAGAGGUGUCAGAAAAGUUACCACAGGGAUAACUGGGCUUGUGGCGGGCCAAGCGUUCAUAGCGACGUCGCUUUUUGAUCCUUCGAUGUCGGCUCUUCCUAUCAUUGCGAAGCAAAAUUCGCCAAGCGUCGGAUUGUUCACCCGCUUAAGGGAACGUGAGCUGGGUUUAGACCGUCGUGAGACAGGUUAGUUUUACCCUACUGAUGCAAGGUCGCACGCGAUCGAAACCGCCUUUACGGCGGCAGUCGUUACGAUAGUAAUCCUGCCCAGUACGAGAGGAACGGCAGGUUCGGACAUUUGGUUCGGCACUCGCCCGAGCGGGCGUUGGUGCGAGGCUACCAUCCGUUGGAUUACGCCUGAACGCCUCUAAGGCCGUAUCCACUCUGGAGAAAACAGCCGGGCCGGCUUUCGGGCCGGUCUCGGGAAAACGAUCGUCCGUACGGCGGAGGAGAACCCAGUAUACAUCGGGAAGGCGUCAAAGCACGGACCUUCGGGUCCACGACGAGCCGGAUUCUCGGCCGCGCGGGCUCUCGGGCCCGCUGGCCGUGCAUCAACGGUGAACGCGGUGAUCCCGCGGCAAACGGUGUGGGUUUUCGGAAUCGUCUGCAGACGACUUAAGUACCGGGCUGGGUGUUGUACUCGGCAGAGCAGUUACCACGCUGCGAUCUGUUAAGACUGCCCUUUGCCUCGGGGGUUCGU